rnacentral:tRNA from 5 species
GCCGCGGUGGUGGAAUGGUAGACACGAGGGCCUUAAGAGCCCUUGUCCGCAAGGGCGUGGGAGUUCGACUCUCCCCCGCGGCACAA